rnacentral:rRNA from 1 species
UACGUAGGGUCCGAGCGUUAAUCGGAAUUACUGGGCGUAAAGCGUGCGCAGGCGGUUUUGUAAGCCAGAUGUGAAAGCCCCGGGCUCAACCUGGGAACUGCAUUUGGGACUGCAAGGCUGGAGUACGGCAGAGGGAGGUGGAAUUCCACGUGUAGCGGUGGAAUGCGUAGAGAUCCGGAGGAAGACCGGUGGCGAAGGCGGUCUGCUGGGCAGUUUCUGACACUGAUGCGCGACAGCGUGGGGAGCAAACAGG